rnacentral:rRNA from 1 species
GGUUAAGUGACUAAGCGUACACGGUGGAUGCCUGGGCAGUCAGAGGCGAUGAAGGACGUACUAACUUGCGAUAAGCGCAGAUAAGGCAGUAAGAGCCGUUUGAGUCUGCGAUUUCCGAAUGGGGAAACCCAACUGCAUAAGCAGUUACUGUUAACUGAAUACAUAGGUUAACAGAGCAAACCGGGGGAACUGAAACAUCUAAGUACCCCGAGGAGAAGAAAUCAACCGAGAUUCCGGUAGUAGCGGCGAGCGAACCUGGAUUAGCCCUUAAGCACUCGGUGAAGUAGGUGAACAAGCUGGAAAGCUUGGCGAUACAGGGUGAUAGCCCCGUAACCGACGCUUCAUCGAGCGUGAAAUCGAGUAGGGCGGGACACGUGAUAUCCUGUCUGAAUAUGGGGGGACCAUCCUCCAAGGCUAAAUACUCCUGACUGACCGAUAGUGAACCAGUACCGUGAGGGAAAGGCGAAAAGAACCCCUGUGAGGGGAGUGAAAUAGAACCUGAAACCGUGUACGUACAAGCAGUAGGAGCACCUUCGUGGUGUGACUGCGUACCUUUUGUAUAAUGGGUCAGCGACUUAUAUUCAGUGGCAAGGUUAACCGUAUAGGGGAGCCGUAGCGAAAGCGAGUCUUAACUGGGCGCUCAGUCUCUGGAUAUAGACCCGAAACCGGGUGAUCUAGCCAUGGGCAGGUUGAAGGUUGAGUAACAUCAACUGGAGGACCGAACCGACUAAUGUUGAAAAAUUAGCGGAUGACUUGUGGCUAGGGGUGAAAGGCCAAUCAAACUCGGAGAUAGCUGGUUCUCCCCGAAAGCUAUUUAGGUAGCGCCUCGGACGAAUACUACUGGGGGUAGAGCACUGUUAAGGCUAGGGGGUCAUCCCGACUUACCAACCCUUUGCAAACUCCGAAUACCAGUAAGUACUAUCCGGGAGACACACGGCGGGUGCUAACGUCCGUCGUGGAGAGGGAAACAACCCAGACCGCCAGCUAAGGUCCCAAAGUAUUGCUAAGUGGGAAACGAUGUGGGAAGGCUCAGACAGCUAGGAUGUUGGCUUAGAAGCAGCCAUCAUUUAAAGAAAGCGUAAUAGCUCACUAGUCGAGUCGGCCUGCGCGGAAGAUGUAACGGGGCUAAGCAAUACACCGAAGCUGCGGCAAUAUCUUUUAGAUAUUGGGUAGGGGAGCGUUCUGUAAGCCGUUGAAGGUGAAUCGUAAGGUUUGCUGGAGGUAUCAGAAGUGCGAAUGCUGACAUGAGUAACGACAAAGGGGGUGAAAAACCUCCUCGCCGGAAGACCAAGGGUUCCUGUCCAACGUUAAUCGGGGCAGGGUGAGUCGACCCCUAAGGUGAGGCCGAAAGGCGUAAUCGAUGGGAAACGGGUUAAUAUUCCCGUACUUCUGACUAUUGCGAUGGGGGGACGGAGAAGGCUAGGUGGGCCAGGCGACGGUUGUCCUGGUUCAAGUGCGUAGGCUUGAGAGUUAGGUAAAUCCGGCUCUCUCUAAGGCUGAGACACGACGUCGAGCUGCUACGGCAGUGAAGUCAUUGAUGCCAUGCUUCCAGGAAAAGCCUCUAAGCUUCAGAUAGUCAGGAAUCGUACCCCAAACCGACACAGGUGGUCGGGUAGAGAAUACCAAGGCGCUUGAGAGAACUCGGGUGAAGGAACUAGGCAAAAUGGUACCGUAACUUCGGGAGAAGGUACGCUCUUGAUGGUGAAGUCCCUCGCGGAUGGAGCUGACGAGAGUCGCAGAUACCAGGUGGCUGCAACUGUUUAUUAAAAACACAGCACUGUGCAAAAUCGCAAGAUGACGUAUACGGUGUGACGCCUGCCCGGUGCCGGAAGGUUAAUUGAUGGGGUUAGCGCAAGCGAAGCUCUUGAUCGAAGCCCCGGUAAACGGCGGCCGUAACUAUAACGGUCCUAAGGUAGCGAAAUUCCUUGUCGGGUAAGUUCCGACCUGCACGAAUGGCGUAAUGAUGGCCACGCUGUCUCCACCCGAGACUCAGUGAAAUUGAAAUCGCUGUGAAGAUGCAGUGUACCCGCGGCUAGACGGAAAGACCCCGUGAACCUUUACUACAGCUUGGCACUGAACAUUGAACCUACAUGUGUAGGAUAGGUGGGAGGCUAUGAAGACGUGACGCCAGUUGCGUUGGAGCCGUCCUUGAAAUACCACCCUUGU